GCCGCUGAGGUGUGUCCGCCAGCGACGGCGGAAUCGCUCACUGCGCACCGUCCUGACUCCUCAAUACAAAUACGGGUGUCAGUGACAUGAAAUUUGUCACUGCAGAUAUCCAGAGAGCUGAAAUAAAGGAGUUGCUGGAGUGCUGAAAUGCAGAACCUAGAGCAAUACUGAAGUAUGGACUGGGUCUGAGCUGCUGUACAGCUGUUGAAGGCAGUCUGAGGCACCCUGGAGAGAGACCUGGGCUUUCAGUACCCUUCUCAGGCCCCCAGCCCUCCUAGAGCAUUCCUCAGCGAGAUCUGUCAGCUUGCCAUGCACAGGUUUUGCCUUGUCCCAGAUCCUAGACCAGUGCUAAGUGGCAGCAGCAAGCCCUUACGCACAUUCCUAUUGAGGACAUUCCUUAUUGUAUUUCCUUGCGGACGUCAUAGUGUUACUGGGGGGUCCUUGUUCUUAGAGCUCCCAAGAUGGUGGC
rnacentral:lncRNA from 1 species